UACAGAGGUCUCAAGCGUUGUUCGGAUUCAUUGGGCGUAAAGGGUGCGUAGGCGGCGCGGUAAGUCAGGUGUGAAAUCUCGGAGCUUAACUUCGAAACUGCAUUCGAUACUGCCGUGCUUGAGGACUGGAGAGGAGACUGGAAUUUACGGUGUAGCGGUGAAAUGCGUAGAUAUCGUAAGGAAGACCAGUGGCGAAGGCGGGUCUCUGGACAGUUCCUGACGCUGAGGCACGAAGGCCAGGGGAGCAAACGGG
rnacentral:rRNA from 1 species